rnacentral:rRNA from 1 species
CGCGUGGCAACCUACCUUUUUCUACGGAACAACAGUUGGAAACGACUGCUAAUACCGUAUACGCCCUCCGGGAAAGAUUUAUCGGUGAAAGAUGGGGCCGCGUUAGAUUAGCUAGUUGGUGAGGUAAUGGCUCACCAAGGCGACGAUCUAUAGCUGGUCUGAGAGGAUGAUCAGCCACACUGGGACUGAGACACGGCCCAGACUCCUACGGGAGGCAGCAGUGGGGAAUAUUGCACAAUGGGCGAAAGCCUGAUGCAGCCAUGCCGCAUGUGUGAAGAAGGCUCUAGGGUUGUAAAGCAC